UAGGGAAUCUUCCACAAUGGACGCAAGUCUGAUGGAGCAACGCCGCGUGAGUGAAGAAGGUUUUCGGACCGUAAAGCUCUGUUGUUGGUGAAGAAGGAUAGAGGUAGUAACUGGCCUUUAUUUGACGGUAAUCAGCCAGAAAGUCACGGCUAACUACGUGCCAGCAGCCGCGGUAAUCGUAGGUGGCAAGCGUUGUCCGGAUUUAUUGGGCGUAAAGCGAGCGCAGGCGGAAGAAUAAGUCUGAUGUGAAAGCCCUCGGCUUAACCGAGGAAUUGCAUCGGAAACUGUUUUCUUGAGUGCAGAAGAGGAGAGUAGAACUCCAUGUGUAGCGGUGGAAUGCGUAGAUAUAUGGAAGAAUACCAGUGGCGAAGGCGGCUCUCUGGUCUGCAACUGACGCUGAGGCUCGAAAGCAUGGGUAGCGAACAGGAUUAGAUACCCUGGUAGUCCAUGCCGUAAACGAUGAGUGCUAAGUGUUGGGAGGCUUCCGCCUCUCAGUGCUGCAGCUAACGCAUUAAGCACUCCGCCUGGGGGAGUACGACCGCAAGGUUGAAAC
rnacentral:rRNA from 1 species